UACGUAGGGGGCAAGCGUUGCCCGGAUUUAUUGGGCGUAAAGAGCGCGUAGGCGGCCUGACAGGUCUGCUGUGAAAACUCGAGGCUCAACCUCGAGAUGUCGGCGGAAACCGUCUGGCUAGAGUCCGGAAGAGGAGAGUGGAAUUCCUGGUGUAGCGGUGAAAUGCGCAGAUAUCAGGAAGAACACCUAUGGCGAAGGCAGCUCUCUGGGACGGUACUGACGCUGAGACGCGAAAGCGUGGGGAGCGAACAGG
rnacentral:rRNA from 1 species